GACGGAGGGGGCAAGCGUUGUUCGGAAUUAUUGGGCGUAAAGAGCUCGUAGGCGGUUUGUCACGUCUGCUGUGAAAUCCCGAGGCUCAACCUCGGGCCUGCAGUGGGUACGGGCAAACUGGAGUGCGGUAGGGGAGAAUGGAAUUCCUGGUGUAGCGGUGGAAUGCGCAGAUAUCAGGAGGAACACCAGCGGCGAAGGCGGCACUCUGGGCUGGAACUGACGCUGAGGAGCGAAAGCGUGGGUAGCAAACAGG
rnacentral:rRNA from 1 species